GAAGAAGAGUGUAUAUUGUUAUGACGUCAGCUUUCUCAAAGUCAGUCUGUUAGAGACAAGGUAACCCCAUUCAGUGAUCCUCCAGCUGUGGCUGAUCUGGCUGGCGAGACAGAUGUUCCCUUCCUCCCUCCUACUUCCAGUUGUUCCUCCCGAGGCACUGGGUGGAAGAGGAGCCCAUUCUCCAAGCAAGGAUGUAGGAGUAGCUGCUUUCCCCUGCUAGAACUCCACACAAGCUCCCAAGAAUGAAUAAGCUGGAUCUGAAAUCAAAUAGAAAUGUAAAG
rnacentral:sRNA from 1 species